rnacentral:rRNA from 1 species
GACGAACGCUGGCGGCGUGCUUAACACAUGCAAGUCGAACGGAAAGGCCCUGCUUUUGUGGGGUGCUCGAGUGGCGAACGGGUGAGUAACACGUGAGUAACCUGCCCUUGACUUUGGGAUAACUUCAGGAAACUGGGGCUAAUACCGGAUAGGAGCUCCUGCUGCAUGGUGGGGGUUGGAAAGUUUCGGCGGUUGGGGAUGGACUCGCGGCUUAUCAGCUUGUUGGUGGGGUAGUGGCUUACCAAGGCUUUGACGGGUAGCCGGCCUGUGAGGGUGACCGGCCACAUUGGGACUGAGAUACGGCCCAGACUCCUACGGGAGGCAGCAGUGGGGAAUAUUGCACAAUGGGCGGAAGCCUGAUGCAGCAACGCCGCGUGCGGGAUGACGGCCUUCGGGUUGUAAACCGCUUUCGCCUGUGACGAAGCGUGAGUGACGGUAAUGGGUAAAGAAGCACCGGCUAACUACGUG